GACGAACGCUGGCGGCGUGCCUAAUACAUGCAAGUCGAACGAGAGCGCCCGGUGCUUGCCCUGGUCAAUCUAGUGGCGAACGGGUGAGUAACACGUGGGUAACCUGCCCAUCAGAGGGGGAUAACAUCCGGAAACGGAUGCUAAAACCGCAUAGGUCUUCGAACCGCAUGGUUUGAAGAGGAAAAGAGGCGCAAGCUUCUGCUGAUGGAUGGACCCGCGGUGCAUUAGCUAGUUGGUGAGGUAACGGCUCACCAAGGCCGUGAUGCAUAGCCGACCUGAGAGGGUGAUCGGCCACAUUGGGACUGAGGCACGGCCCAAACUCCUACGGGAGGCAGCAGUAGGGAAUCUUCCGCAAUGGACGGAAGUCUGACGGAGCAAAGCCGCGUGAGUGAAGAAGGUUUUCGGAUCGUAAAACUCUGUUGUUAGAGAAGAACAAGUGCUAGAGUAACUGUUAGCGCCUUGACGGUAACUAAACAGAAAGCCACGGCUAACUACGUG
rnacentral:rRNA from 1 species